UCAAAGGUCUUUUUAAAGACCAUUAAGGUGUACGAUUAUCGUAACAU
rfam:Danaus plexippus plexippus isolate F-2 unplaced genomic scaffold DPSCF300022, whole genome shotgun sequence.